rnacentral:lncRNA from 1 species
GUGUGACCGUUUUAGCAAGGAUUAGACAACAAUUAGAAUUAGAGAGGAUCAAACCACAAGUACUAUAUGAUCAAGACAAGAAAAUUAAUAAAAGCAGUUUUUAAGUAAUAAAGAGAAAUAUUAGAAAAGAUGGUCGUCCAGUAAAUUACUUUGAACGUACAACUGAUAAAGAAAAUACAUAAAAUUUAAAUAUGAGGCUAGCUAGUGAGAUAAUUUAACCCAUACUAAUUAGUUACAUAUACAUAUAUAUAUAUAUAUAUAUAUAUAUUAAUUAGGAAAUUAAGCAUAUUAAUUAAGUAGAACUAAUUAACUCUGGAGAAAUAUAUGAUAUCUAUGAUCAGAGAUAUAUUGGAAGAGAGUACUACUACUACGUACGUAUAUUAUUAUUAUUAUUAUUAUUAUUAUUAUUAAUUAAAGAUAGGAGGGGGUGCAGGCGAUGGCAGCCAGCAAGAGGAUUGCUGAUGAGACACCGUCUUCUUCAAGAUUGGAAGUACUCCGCUUGAACUUGCUGGCUCUCCCUUUGUUGCAUUGAAGUACUACUAUCUGUUGGUGUUUCUGCUGCUGCUGCUUUAUUUCUAUUAAUAAUUCAGCAGCAUUCUCCUUACCAGUAGUACCCUUAAUUAUAUAUUGCUCUUGCUGCUGCUGCUGCAGCUGCCUCUUCUUCUUCAUGGCUUCGUCCACCUUCGAUACCAUUUUCUUUAUUUCUUUUUCAACAAAUUAAACCACGUACGUACGUACGUAAGCUAGCCACCCCAAUGAAACCACAAAUUAAUUAAAAGAGCGAUCGAGCUAGCUAGCUAGCCAGUCAGCUAGAGAUAUAUAAAAGCAGAUCGAUCGAGAUAAACUGAGAGGUUUGUGUGCAUGGGGAACAAGGUUAUACACACACCUUCUAUUUAUAGAGAGCUAGCUAGCUAGGUAGCCUGUACUGUAAAUUUGUAAUGGUAUAGGAAUAACUAAUUAAUUAAAUGCCCUUAGUUUUGCUUUUCAAACUAAUAAUACACACACUAUGAUUCGA